AACGAACGCUGGCGGCAUGCCUAACACAUGCAAGUCGAACGCGUGGAGCGAUCCACGAGUGGCGCACGGGUGAGUAACGCGUGGGAACCUGCCCUGGAGUGUGGGAUAACCCGGCGAAAGCCGGGCUAAUACCGCAUACGACCUGAGGGUGAAAGAUUUAUCGCUCUAGGAGGGGCCCGCGUCGGAUUAGCUAGUUGGUGAGGUAAUGGCUCACCAAGGCGAUGAUCCGUAGCUGGUCGGAGAGGAUGAUCAGCCACACUGGGACUGAGACACGGCCCAGACUCCAACGGGAGGCAGCAGUGGGGAAUAUUGGCCAAUGGGGGCAACCCUGAUCCAGAAAUGCCGCGUGGGGGAUGAAGGCCUUCGGGUUGUAAAGCCCUUUUGCACGCGACGAUGAUGACGGUAGCGUGAGAAGAAGCCCCGGCUAACUUCGUGCCAGCCGCCGCCGUAA
rnacentral:rRNA from 1 species